GAACACACCACUACCCUCCAGCCUGGAUGACAGAGUGAGACUCUGUCUCAAAAAAAAGAAAAUACAUGUUUGGUUUUGGAACUUCCCAAGAGCUUUAAUUAGGCUCACAGUACAGUUGGAGAAUAUUUGGGUUUGAGUCCAGAGCACAUGGCCAUAGAGUAGCUUAGUGCAGCUUUGGCUGCUGGUUCAUGGUUUGGUUCAGAUCGAGCCUCCGAGCAUAAGAAAGUUACUCAUUCAGGCCAGAAAUGAAGCUGUGGUGGGGGAGUCAUAAGUGCCCUGCUCACCUUGUGGCUUGGCCAGAUGGGUAGACAGUGGGGGUGCUCAAACUUCAUCUGAUUCAGGACACCCCAAGAUCUCUCACCAGCUGGGGAGCUGCAGAUGUCCAGACACAAGAAACAAGCCACUACAAGUCAAGGCUUGGUGUUUGUAUUUUUUUUAGUAGAGUUGGGGUUUUACCAUGUUGCCCAGGCUGGUCUCAAACUCCUGAUGUCACGUGAUCUGCCUACCUCCCAAAGUGUUGGGAUUACUGGGGUGAGCCAUUGUACCUGGCCCUUGGCCUUGCCCUCAUUAGAGAGUCUUAUAGCAAAUGUCUCUAGCUGAUCAUCUAGUGGUAAUGUAAAUCAGCUAAGUACAUACAUAUUGAUUGAUUGACUUAAAGUAUUUACUAGAUCGCUGAUUUGUUACAAGCAUUUGUUACUUUUGCAUUCCUUUAAGAAAACUUUGGGGCUGGGUGCAGUGGCUCAUACAUGUGAUCACAACACUUUGGUAGACCAAAUUGGGAGGAUCAUUUUUGAACUCUGGGGUUUGAGACCAGCCUGGACAACAUUGCAAGACCGCAUCUCUAUUAAAA
rnacentral:lncRNA from 1 species